rnacentral:rRNA from 1 species
ACUUCCCAUGGCAAAAGCCAGUAAGGCCCCUUGUAGACCACAAGGUUGAUAGGCGAGAGGUGUAAGUGCAGUAAUGCAUUCAGCUGACUCGUACUAAUAGGCCGAGGGCUUGUUCAG